CUUCAGCCUCCUGCGUAACUGGGACCACAGAUGCGCACCACUAGGCCCGGACAUGACUGCAGUCCUCUCUUCUAAAAUCUGAGGGCUCUCGCUGGCUGGGUGCUACUGGAAGAACUGUAACCUGGUUGUUACCUCAACCGUACUUUAUUUUAAAUGUUUUAAUUAAAAGAAGUUUUUAAAAAUG